AUAAUGAUACAGGACUCUUUCGAGGCCCUGUAAUUGGAAUGAGUACACUUUAAAUCCUUUAACGAGGAUCUAUUGGAGGGUCUGGUGCAGAGUGACUGACCCGUGCGUGCUGCAGCUGAAACUCCAC
rnacentral:rRNA from 1 species